rnacentral:rRNA from 2 species
ACUCCUACGGGAGGCAGCAGUAGGGAAUCUUCCACAAUGGACGCAAGUCUGAUGGAGCAACGCCGCGUGAGUGAAGAAGGCUUUCGGGUCGUAAAACUCUGUUGUUGGAGAAGAAUGGUCGGCAGAGUAACUGUUGUCGGCGUGACGGUAUCCAACCAGAAAGCCACGGCUAACUACGUGCCAGCAGCCGCGGUAAU